rnacentral:rRNA from 1 species
GAUGAACGCUGGCGGCGUGCCUAAUACAUGCAAGUCGAGCGAACAGACGAGGAGCUUGCUCCUCUGACGUUAGCGGCGGACGGGUGAGUAACACGUGGAUAACCUACCUAUAAGACUGGGAUAACUUCGGGAAACCGGAGCUAAUACCGGAUAAUAUAUUGAACCGCAUGGUUCAAUAGUUAAAGACGGUUUUGCUGUCACUUAUAGAUGGAUCCGCUACGCAUUAGCUAGUUGGUAAGGUAACGGCUUACCAAGGCAACGAUGCGUAGCCGACCUGAGAGGGUGAUCGGCCACACUGGAACUGAGACACGGUCCAGACUGCUACGGGAGGCAGCAGUAGGGAAUCUUCCACAAUGGGCGAAAGCCUGACGGAGCAACGCCGCGUGAGUGAUGAAGGUCUUCGGAUCGUAAAACUCUGUUAUUAGGGAAGAACAAAUGUGUAAGUAACUAUGCACGUCUUGACGGUACCUAAUCAGAAAGCCACGGCUAACUACGUG